CAGUAGGGAAGGAUCAUUGCUUGGAGAUUGUUUAUUUUGGAGUUUUUCUGUGAGCCCAGGAUAUGGCAUUUACUGGUAGUCUGCUUACUCUUGUUGAAGCUUUGAUGCUGAUGUUGUGUUGAUCUCCUUAAUGUAUAACUUAUGUGUAAAACUAUACCAGAAGAACAUUAAACUCUAGGAGCCAGAACUUAGGAUAUGUUGAAGUUAUACUUGUCUGUACAACCUUCUCUACGAACUACCAUGUACCUGAAUUGUCUGGUUUUGUGAUCAUGUGAUUGUUUUCUCCCAUCAUUACCAUUUUUUUUUU